GUGGGCAACUCCAGGCCUGGAGGGCCGGUCUGCUGCAACUUUUAGAUGUGUCUCUACUUCAACACACCUGAGUUGAGUUGGUGGGUUCUAGGAUAUUGCGAAGAUAAUCAUUUGACGAACAUGGAAGACGUUGUGGCCGGGCUUUUGAGCGAUAGAUCUAGGAUUGUGGAACAAAACUUGGAGUGUGGAAAAGGCGGUUUUUGGCAUAAACUGGUAUGUGAAUGGUUUGAAUGGCAAUGGAGAUAAGUAAUGAAGAAAAUGGGGAAUAUGAAGGGUGGACGCCAGUGGGAAGAGGGAGAGGAAGAGGACGAGGAAGAAUCAAAGUAGACGAAGGGAAGGGAAUCAGAGAUAGCCAAGGUAGUAAACGGGAUUUAGAAGGAAGCAGUUCAGAGGAAGAGAGGGUAGUUAGGAGAAAAGUUGUGAAUGAGGAAUUUAAAGUAAUUCUGAAACUUAAGAGUGACGAAGAUCAGGAGAAAAUUAGCCCAAUUGGGGUGUCAAGAGAAACUAAAAAGAAAAUAGGAGACGUUGAAAUGGUAAAGAUUUUGAGGGACGGAAGUCUUUUGAUAGAAUGUAAGGAUAUAGAGCAAAAGAAUAAGGCCUUCGAUGUGGACAAUAUAUGUAAAAGAACAAAAUGUUGGGAGGAAAUAAAAAAAUUAGAGGGGUGAUCUAUGGGAUCCCUCUAGAUGAGGAUCUGGAAAAACUUAAAAGAGAAAUAUUGUUGGAGCAAAGGUGACUAAUGUGAAAAGGCUGUCAAGAACUGUGGAUGGUGAGAGAGUUGGGAGUCAGUCAAUCCAAGUGGAGUUUGAAGAAAAAGAGUUGCCAAUCAAUAUAAAAGUAGGAUAUAUAAGUUUCCAAGUCGGACCUUAUGUACCUCCACCACUUCGGUGUUUUAAAUGCCAAAAGUAUGGACACAUUGUGGCAGUUUGUAAAGGAAAGCAGAAAUGUCCAAAAUGUGAGGAAGAUCAUAAAUUUGAAGAAUGUAAGGAAGACGUACAAGAGAAAUGUAACUGUGGGGGAAAUCAUAGGGUUACGUACGGAGGAUGCGAGGUAAGAAAGAGGGCUAAAGAAGUUGUGCAGAUUAAAACAUCUAAAAAUAUAAGCUACGCAGAGGCUGUUAAAAAUGUGAAGGAGCAGGAAAAAGGAGGUCGAGCAAAUGGGGAGUCAAACAACACGGCAAUCUAAAAUAAUACCGGAAGAAAAGGUCACUUACUCAGUGGAAAAUCUAGUUUUAUUCAUAGCUUAUGUUAUCAACUGUACAGAUCAAGCUAAGCACAAAACCGAGAAGAUUAAAAUAAUAGUGAGAGGAGCUGAAAAAUUCUUGGGGUUUAAGGAAGAUACAUGGGAAGAAAUAAAUAAAAAGCUAGAGGUGGAUAAGAAGUCGGGACCAGCAAGUGAAAGUAGUUUAUGUUAAUACUGCAAUGGAACGCUAGGAGUUUGAUAGCUAAUGGACAGGAAUUUAAAGGUUAUAUUGACGAGCUUGAAGUCCAACCAGAUAUAAUAUGUGUGCAGGAAACUUGGUUAAAAUUAACAUUAGAUUUUGUGAUUAGAGGAUAUGUUAGUAGUAUAAGAAGAGAUUGAGAAGAGGGAGGGGGAGGUGGAUGUGGAAUAUUUAUAAAACGAGGGAUAAAAUAUCAGGUUUUAGGAAAAGGGAAAGAACUAGAAUUUGUAGUAAUUGAGGUAUGGGAGCAGGGAGAUAAAAUUAAAAUAAAUUUUUAUAAUCCAUGUAAAUUAUUAUCGUCUGAAAUAAUGGUGGAAUUAUUAGAUUAUUUGGAGGGAAGAGUAAUUUGGUGUGGGGAUUUCAAUGCAAAAAGUACACUAUGGGGUAAUAGUAAUGAUAAAAAUGGGCAGGUUAUAGAAGAAGUGAUGGAAAAGAAAAAUUUAGUAUGUAUUAAUGAGAGAAGGGGAACAAGAAUCAAUAUAAGAACGGGGAUGGAAUCAUCUAUUGAUCUAUCAAUUGUAUCAAAUGAUGUAGCUGGUAUGGUCAGUUGAUAAAGAAACUACAGUAGGUAGUGAUCAUUAUCCUAUAACUAUAAGGGUAGGAAUAAUUGGAAAUAAGUAUAAAAAUAGAGGGGAGAGAUUGAACUUUAAUAAGGCAGAUUGGAGUAAGUUUAGAUAUUUGAGUCAAAUGUAUUUAGAAAAGGUAGAUUUUAAAAUGCAUAUAAAUGAAGUAAAUGCAAGAAUCUCAAAGAUAAUAACAGCAGAAAACUCUAUUAAAACGUCAGGGAGUAUUAAUGAUAAGAAAAAGGUGCCAUGGUGGACAAGUGAGUGUAAGGAAGCAAUUAAAUGAAGAAAUAAAGCCUUGAAGGUAUUAAAACAUAACCCAGUUUAUAUGAACUUAUUGAUUAUAAAAGGAAGCAAGCAGUAGUAAGGAGGAUUAUAAAGAAAGCUAAGAGAGACUAUUGGAGAAAUGUUUGUAGUACAAUAGGGAAAGAUACAAAAAUUGAGAAGAUAUGGAAAGUAAUUAAAAAAAUGAAUGGUAUUAAAAAAGAGUUUGAUUAUCCUGUAUUAAAAGUAGAGAAUGCUGACAUAAUUAGAGAUGAGGAUAAAGCUGAGGUAAUGGCAAGAUUAUUUUGUAAGAUACAUAGCACAAAUAACAUUAGCGAAGAGGGAAGAAAAGGGAGAGAAAAUACUGUUCUUAAGUAUAAAAAUUUAAUACAGAGUGAUGAAGAAAUAAAUCAUUUUUUGAAUGUUGAUUUUACCAAAGUGGAAUUAAAUUGUGUGCUUAGAAAGACCAAAAAUACAGGUGAAGAUAAAAUUUGGUAUAGAAUGAUAAGUCAACUAAGUGAUAAGUCAAAAGCUAUAAUAUUUCUAAUUAUCAAAGUGGUUUUCAUAAAGGGAGGAGCACUAAUGACUCAACAUUAUGUCUUGAGCAUGAAGUUAGAAAUGAUAUGAUGUGGGUAGAGGGUUUAUUAAUUAAGUUACACAAAUUACACAAAUUGGGGAUUAAAGGAAAAUAUAUGAAUGGAUUAAAGACUUUUUAACAAACAGGAAAUUACAGGUAAGAAUUGGAGUAGUUUCAGAUAAAUAUCUAGUGGAAAAUGAAACGCCACAGGGAAGUAUUAUAAGCUCAUUGUUUUCUGUUAUGAUAAAUGACAUAUUCAAAAAUAUUGGAAAGGAUAUGGGUUGUUCACUCUUUGCAGAUGAUGGAGCUGUUUGGCUGUUUGGAAAAGAGGGAAAAAUGUUGAGUUUAUAGUAAAGAAAUUACAAAAGGUAAUUAUUGAUAUAGAGGUGUGGGCACUGAAAUGGGGAUUUAAAUUCUCAGUGGAUAAAACAAAAGUAAUUAUAUUUUCUCAGAAAAAAACAAAAAGUAAUAGAUUUAAAAUUAUAUAAUCAAAAAAUAGAGCAGGUAAAGAGUAUAACAUUUUUAGGUUUGUGGUUUGAUGAAAAAUUAAAAUGGAAUAUUCACAUUCAAAAGAUUUUAGAUAAA